CUAUUGGGUGAUACUUUGCUGGACAUUUAGCAUAGCCUUGUCAGGUGGGGAAACUCUCUAUCCACACUUACCUUAAGAAAUUUUUUGUUGAAGAACUUAGAUUUAUUCAUCUCGGUGAGUUAGUUUGGUUAACCAAGGUAUCCUGCACGAGGACUUAAGCUUUUGAUGGCUUUGGCUGGUAGAAUUUAAGCAAAUGUGUCUGCGGACAAUUUUGAUGACAGAUUAGUGUCGAAACUCGAGACAACUUUUGAGCGUAUCAAAG
rnacentral:misc_RNA from 1 species